rnacentral:rRNA from 1 species
AGAGUUUGAUCAUGGCUCAGAUUGAACGCUGGCGGCAGGCCUAACACAUGCAAGUCGAGCGGUAGCACAGAGAGCUUGCUCUCGGGUGACGAGCGGCGGACGGGUGAGUAAUGUCUGGGAAACUGCCUGAUGGAGGGGGAUAACUACUGGAAACGGUGGCUAAUACCGCAUAAUGUCGCAAGACCAAAGUGGGGGACCUUCGGGCCUCAUGCCAUCAGAUGUGCCCAGAUGGGAUUAGCUAGUAGGUGGGGUAACGGCUCACCUAGGCGACGAUCCCUAGCUGGUCUGAGAGGAUGACCAGCCACACUGGAACUGAGACACGGUCCAGACUCCUACGGGAGGCAGCAGUGGGGAAUAUUGCACAAUGGGCGCAAGCCUGAUGCAGCCAUGCCGCGUGUGUGAAGAAGGCCUUCGGGUUGUAAAGCACUUUCAGCGGGGAGGAAGGCGNCGAUUGACGUUACCCGCAGAAGAAGCACCGGCUAACUCCGUGCCAGCAGCCGCGGUAAUACGGAGGGUGCAAGCGUUAAUCGGAAUUACUGGGCGUAAAGCGCACGCAGGCGGUCUGUCAAGUCGGAUGUGAAAUCCCCGGGCUCAACCUGGGAACUGCAUUCGAAACUGGCAGGCUAGAGUCUUGUAGAGGGGGGUAGAAUUCCAGGUGUAGCGGUGAAAUGCGUAGAGAUCUGGAGGAAUACCGGUGGCGAAGGCGGCCCCCUGGACAAAGACUGACGCUCAGGUGCGAAAGCGUGGGGAGCAAACAGGAUUAGAUACCCUGGUAGUCCACGCCGUAAACGAUGUCGAUUUGGAGGUUGUGCCCUUGAGGCGUGGCUUCCGGAGCUAACGCGUUAAAUCGACCGCCUGGGGAGUACGGCCGCAAGGUUAAAACUCAAAUGAAUUGACGGGGGCCCGCACAAGCGGUGGAGCAUGUGGUUUAAUUCGAUGCAACGCGAAGAACCUUACCUGGUCUUGACAUCCACAGAACUUUCCAGAGAUGGAUUGGUGCCUUCGGGAACUGUGAGACAGGUGCUGCAUGGCUGUCGUCAGCUCGUGUUGUGAAAUGUUGGGUUAAGUCCCGCAACGAGCGCAACCCUUAUCCUUUGUUGCCAGCGGUUNGGCCGGGAACUCAAAGGAGACUGCCAGUGAUAAACUGGAGGAAGGUGGGGAUGACGUCAAGUCAUCAUGGCCCUUACGACCAGGGCUACACACGUGCUACAAUGGCAUAUACAAAGAGAAGCGACCUCGCGAGAGCAAGCGGACCUCAUAAAGUAUGUCGUAGUCCGGAUUGGAGUCUGCAACUCGACUCCAUGAAGUCGGAAUCGCUAGUAAUCGUAGAUCAGAAUGCUACGGUGAAUACGUUCCCGGGCCUUGUACACACCGCCCGUCACACCAUGGGAGUGGGUUGCAAAAGAAGUAGGUAGCUUAACCUUCGGGAGGGCGCUUACCACUUUGUGAUUCAUGACUGGGGUGAAGUCGUAACAAGGUAACCGUAGGGGAACCUGCGGUUGGAUCACCU